rnacentral:rRNA from 1 species
CCUACGGGAGGCAGCAGUGGGGAAUAUUGGACAAUGGGCGCAAGCCUGAUCCAGCAAUGCCGCGUGAGUGAUGAAGGCCUUCGGGUCGUAAAGCUCUUUUACCCGGGAUGAUAAUGACAGUACCGGGAGAAUAAGCUCCGGCUAACUCCGUGCCAGCAGCCGCGGUAAUACGGAGGGAGCUAGCGUUGUUCGGAAUUACUGGGCGUAAAGCGCACGUAGGCGGUUAUUCAAGUCAGAGGUGAAAGCCCGGGGCUCAACCCCGGAACUGCCUUUGAAACUAGAUGACUAGAAUCUUGGAGAGGUCAGUGGAAUUCCGAGUGUAGAGGUGAAAUUCGUAGAUAUUCGGAAGAACACCAGUGGCGAAGGCGACUGACUGGACAAGUAUUGACGCUGAGGUGCGAAAGCGUGGGGAGCAAACAGGAUUAGAUACCCAGGUAGUCCACGCCGUAAACCGAUGAUAACUAGCUGUCCGGGUACUUGGUAUUUGGGUGGCGCAGCUAACGCAUUAAGUUAUCCGCCUGGGGAGUACGGUCGCAAGAUUAAAACCUUAAAUGAAUUGACGG